rnacentral:rRNA from 1 species
UAGGCUGCAACUCGCCUACAUGAAGUUGGAAUCGCUAGUAAUCGCGAAUCAGAAUGUCGCGGUGAAUACGUUCCCGGGUCUUGUACACACCGCCCGUCACACCACGAGAGUUUACAACACCCGAAGUCAGUGGCCUAACCGCAAGGAGGGAGCUGCCUAAGGUGGGGUAGAUGAUUGGGGUGAAGUCGUAACAAGGUAUC